GCUUCUCUUUUCUUCUAAAAUGCUACCAUAUAGCAAUAGAAAUAAAAAGCAAGAAAGAAAAGAGAGAGAUCUGAGAGUGAAGCUGUGACAGGGAAGGGAGAAGAGGAGAGGGAGGAGCUGCGCCACCACUGCGGGCCUUGGGCUCGCCGUUCAUGCCCGUCACAUUGUCGCCCAGCUGCGUCCAACCCACUGCCAGUAGCCGCCAUCGUCGCCAACAACAGAGGAGAGAGAAAGAGGCGAACGCGAGGAGAGAGAGAGAGAAGCCGUGCCAGCCCCUUGCUGCCGUGCCGCAUCGUUGUCCAAGGGAGGAGGAAGGCCGCGCAGCUAUUGCGAAGCCACCGUCUCCGUUAGUUGCUCAGCCUUGUCUCUGAUUUUGGUUCCCCUUUUGUGUGCCGAAGUCGCUGCUGCCGUGAUGGUGGCCGUGGGGUUGCAUGUGCUUAAACAAAGCUGUUACUGCUGCUGCUCCAUUCCUCUGUUCUUUUCAAGUUUUAGUAAGUUGUCCUUGUUCCCAAACCCUCAUUAUUACCAUUCUGCUUCCAUGGUUGAUUGAGAAUGUUGAGAUGUUAAUAUGUUAGGGUUAUGCCAAUACCACUACAAAUUUUUCGAUGGCAUUGCUAUUAAUGAUUCGGUUUAAAGCUGUUGCUGCUGCUGCUGCUGCGAGUUAGAACGAAGUUGGAGUCACGCCUAACCUUGUGGGUUUCGACUAACUGAGUGACAGGCUCGGAGACUCAGUUUGAAGCCGCGGGCGAUUAGGAGUUUUAUUUAAGUUAAGUUUAUGUGUCGAGUUAUUUUCAUAGAAUUCCCUCGCCUUUGUUAUUUAAGAUUUUAUUUUAUACCGAGGGAUAGGAAUUGUAUCUGAAUUUCUUUUGAAUUUUUUUGUAUAAUAUUUAUCAUUAUUACUAAUUAAGUGAUUACUAUUACCUGUGUGUUCUUUGAUGAAUGAUUUUGAUUAAUGAGAAACAAUAUUUUCCGGCAU